rnacentral:rRNA from 1 species
GGAAAGCUCAAAUGGGGAAUUGGCCCCGGAGGCAGCAGUAAAGAAUUUUGUGCAAUAUAUGAAGGUAAGACACAGAGAGGGCACCUUGCCUAGUCCGUCAAAUUAAGUGCCAGCAGACGCGGUGAAACUUAAGGGCUAGUUUUGUGGGCAAAAGCGUAAAGGGUGUGAUAGGCCGUUUUAAUUAAAAAGGGUUUUAUAAUUUAAGAAGGUAAAUGGAAUUUUUUUGUAGCGGUGGAAUGUGUAAAUAGAAAAAAGAACUUUAGACGUGAAGACUAUUUAUUUUUGAGAUUAUAGUGUGGUGGCUAAAACACGAGAGUAUGGGGAGCAAACAGGAUUAGGGACCCUGGUAGUCUAUACUGUAAAUAAUGAAAAAGAUGUGAAGCAAUCCUAAAAAGUCAGAAAUUUUCCGCUUGAGUAGUACGACCGCAAGGUUAAAAUUCAAAAAACUUGGCUGUUCACUGUUUUAAUUAGAGGAGCGUGUCGUUUAAUUUGAUAGUCCGCGAGAGACCUUACCCAAACUUGAAUCCCUCAUUGACAGGUAUUGCAUGGCCGUCGUCAAUUUGUGUAUUAAACAUAAAACAGAUUUAACCCAGUGGUUUGUCACUUGGAUGAAGUCAGGUCUUAUUGUCCUAAUGUUUGGGGAUUAGAUGCGCUACAUUUUUUUAUACAAUAGGAAACUUUGAGUGUGAAACCUGAAAAUAAGAGUUCGGAAAGUGCCUGGAAGAUAACGGAAAGUUGUAUUUAAUAGUAAUUGAAAAGUAGAGCGUUUCAAUGAAAUUUUUUCAGUGUUAGUACAAAUUGCCCGUCGCCUUUGCUUAGACAGGUUGGUUGAUUGCCCCUCAAGAGGGUUUCUAAUACCUCCGAGGCAGAGUAA